CUGAGGAUACAGCAAGAAGGUGGCCAUCUAUAAGGCAGGAAGAGGGCCUUCACCAAGAACCGAAUCUGUUGGCACCUUGAUCUCAGACUUCCCAGGUUGCAGAACUGACCAUAUGGAGGAAAUGUCUGAGGAAAUGGUGAAAUGAAAGAGAUAAUUUGUGAACUUGGCUGAAAGGCUAUGCAAUUCUUCCUCAAGCUUUUUCAAAUUGUCACAAAUCUAAAAAAAUAAAUUCCAAUAUGUUCACUGGAAAGAAUUCACAUAUAAGUGAACCAUGCCGUUCAAACCUGUGUUAUUCAAGGGUCAACUGUGUAAAGAAAACUCCAGGCUCAAAGUGGAUCAAUGGCAGAAAACCAGAGUGAACAGUCUAUCUGGAUCAAAGCCAAGCUCUCAAGAUAAAAAGUCAAGAGGGAAGGAAAAACUCAUCAGGUUUUUGGUGACCCUCAGCAGAAUUCGUCCAAAUGGACACCUGAGUAAGAAGAGCAAAUCCACGGGUCUGUGAGACACUGGUGGAUAAAAAGCAAAACCGGCGCAAAAGAGAAACCGCAGCAGCGAAACCGCAGGAGAGCUGGGCUGUGCAGCCAGGCGCAGGCAGCGAAGACGCAGGCGCAAAGGAGGGGUACCUGAUGGGAGGGGUACCUGA